ACGGCUUACCAAGGCAACGAUGCGUAGCCGACCUGAGAGGGUGAUCGGCCACAUUGGAACUGAGACACGGCCCAGACUCCUACGGGAGGCAGCAGUGGGGAAUAUUGCACAAUGGGGGAAACCCUGAUGCAGCAACGCCGCGUGAGUGAUGAAGGUUUUCGGAUCGUAAAGCUCUGUCUUCAGGGACGAUAAUGACGGUACCUGAGGAGGAAGCCACGGCUAACUAC
rnacentral:rRNA from 1 species